GGCUUCCGCCGCCGCUGCCGGCUGCUCCCCGCCCUGCCGCUUCGUCGUUUACCCGCCAUGACGCGUUUCUGCGUCGUCCAGGGAAAAAAGGGGCCGGGAGGGGGCCGCUGUCGCGUGUGGUGCGCGUCAUGAGCGACGGGGAGCGUGUGCCAUACUUGUGGGCAUUAAAUAUUUGUACUGCAGCUUAAUAAAACUGGGACUGAAAUCUGAAGGAUGGCAGCAAAUCCUUCAGGACAAGGUUUCCAGAAUAAAAAUAGAGUUGCAAUCCUGGCAGAGCUAGACAAGGAGAAGAGAAAGUUACUUAUGCAAAACCAGUCUUCCACAAAUCACCCUGGAGCCAGCAUUGCGCUUGCAAGAUCCCCGCUGAACAAGGAUUUCCGUGAUCAUGCUGAGCAACAGCACAUUGCAGCACAGCAGAAGGCAGCACUGCAGUUUUACAGAUGCAGAAAAAUGCAGAAGGGCUGCAGUGCCUGCAAGUACCCACAAAGCCUGUGGUCAGGAUUAGCAGACAGUGAUUUGUGAGGCACCAUCUGGAGACUACUGCUCUGCAUCCCACACCUGCAGCUGGCUCCUCUUCCCCUCGCCCUCAGAGACACAGAGCUCUUCGGCUUUCGGUUUAUCUUUGCUCUCACGGGCUGCUCUGUCUUAUGAAGAAACACUGCUUGCAAGUGAGAAAAGAGACAUCAAAUUGCCAAACUCAAGGACAUCAGACAAAGGAAAAUGACAUGCUGUGAGACAAAAUCAAGACAAACUUCUUCCAAAAGCACUUGCUACUACCUGGAACAUCUUGCUCCUUUUGAAGAGGUCUGGAUCCAGCCAUGUGACAGACUCACGGCCUCAGGGAGGCUUGUACCCAGGCGGCCCUAUCCGCUGAAUGGGCAAAGAUAAGGGAGCGCCAGGUCCGCCUCACAGGGCAGGUGCCUGUGAUCCUGGGCCUUGGACAUGCAGUGGCCACACUGCAAUGCUGCAUCAAGAUGAGAUCAGGGUGUUUACCCUCCAACAAGCCCAGGUUUCUCCAGGGCAAGCUGAGGUCCCCUCCAGUAGAUCCUCUAACCUGUGCUGUCACAGUGUCUGGACCCUGGAGCCUACCACAGAGCAUGCCUGACCCACCAAGCAAAUGCAGCCACAGGGGACUAAUGCCAUCCUGAAGCUGAGCAAAGAAAUUAAGGACAAGAACUUCAAUACUACAAGUACCACAGGACUCCAAGGGUAACACUUUCAGAGAUUACGGGAAAGCCACUGGGCAUUUGGUGCCUGCUGUGAACGCCUUAGGAAACCUCACUGUGACUGUGCUUACUGCCAAUGGCCAUCAAAAGUCCCAAUCUGGGAACUGCUCAGUGAUAGUGACUGCAAAAGGAGCUCCAGGAGGCCAGCACCUCUAAAGAACAGGUCACUUGAUUAGUUAUCUGCUCUGCUCUGAUCUGAUCUAAUCUGAGGCUAAUUUCUUGAGGUACUCAGGCUUAGUGUUCAGACAGUUUCAUCAGUCUCUUUCGAAGACAAAUUAACCCAGUCUCAGCCCAGCUUCUGCUUUUCAUCAGUCUCAACUGCUGAUUUGCUCUGCAGGACUCAGUAUGGUAUUUUUCGUCAGGGAAUGCCCCAUCAUCAGUGAAACCUGGGAAAAUAAUGAGGAACAGCAUUCUUCUGGAAGCAAUACCCACAGUAUGUUGUACUCUGUCCCAUGUGCCUCCCUGACUUAAAUCAAAUUGAAGCAGAAGCUCCUGUCUCCACCGCCAUCACAUGAGCUUGCCUGGACAUGCUAAAUGUCCUGCAGCUCCUCCAGUAAAGGCUGCUAAGAUUUGCCAGGAUCAGACUCUUAAUAAACAAAAGCGCUGAUGGUGGGAAAUAAUGCUCACAGCUUGUGGGGGGUGUAGGUAGCAGCUUUUAUUGGAUGUUUCCUCUGCUAAAGUUGAUGCUACUCUUUACUUCAAGAUCCAGUGAACGAAUAUCUUUAAAAUAAUGCUGUGCUCAAACAUUCAAAAGACAGGAGCAAAACUAUGUUUUAGAACUCAUGGAUAACAGAUAGAUCCUAGAAACCAAGCUAAUACAUUUUAAAAAAACAUGUUCAGUAUUAGGAGGAAGGGAGAAAUUGUCUUCCAAAAGAAUACAUCUAAAUGCAAUUGUUGUAUUUUUGUAAUCAUGUAACUAUGUAAUCAUGUAACUAUCAGACAGGAGCUGUGAUUUCAAGGCAUUGCACAGUCCUGGCAAACCCGUGACUCUACAGUGAGCUCUAUAUGUCUUUGUGUUCCUUAACCUUUUCACAGCCCUGCGCUCCUGUGGGAAGAAACAGUCACAUAUUUUGCAGCAGCAGACUGCACAGUGUCAGAUUGCACAUGUCCCCCAGCUGUUUUAGCUCUUCCAUGUGUUCUUUUCUUGUGCUUAAAUGAUUGUCACAGCUUCCACUGAAAUCAAAAGGAGCUUUCCCCUCACCUUCAAAAGAAACUGGACCAGGUCUUAGUUGUAAAGCUGAAGGCAAUUACUUUUACAACUGACUAGUGAUUUUUGAGAGUUACGUCAUUUAGAUUUCAGACCUGAGAUACCUUAAAGUGCCUUGAUUUUCAAAAAAUAUUGAUCAUUCUAUGUCUGAUUUAAGCGCUCUUUUAAGAUAUUUCAAAUCUCAGACACCCAAAAAAUACUAAUUUUUGGGUUAAAUGUCACUGCACUGUCUGAAAAUACUGUCCUUUGGUGAUGCUGUAAUAAGAUUAAUUUGUUAUUUGGUAAAUCCAGUGAUAGUUUCUAGCAGUACCUACAGAUCCAGUGUAAAUGACAUUGGUACUGGAAAAAUAUCUAUAUAUACAAUAUACCAAAUGAGUGGAGAAAACAUCAAAAAAAUGAUUCACAAGAAAAUAACCUUGGUACAGUAGCUAAAAAAGAAAAUGUAGGCACUUCUUCUUCAAGAGUUCUCAGACUUCGAAACUGAGCUUCCUUUUUGCCAGAUGCGCUUGCUAAGGAGAAAAAUCCAUGAUACACGUUACUUCCUCCUUACAGGAAAAAGUUGUCAGCCAGUUCUUUGCUCAGUAAGCUGACCCCAAAUUUGGAAAAGUUGAAGGAGACAGCAGUGAGGCAUCACUGCCUCACAGCUAUCUGUGGAAAGCUGCCACGGUCUUGCUCUUUCAUCAGGACUGGCCCCCAGCUCUUCGCAAUGAGGUUCUAUUAAUCCACUAAAUGGGAAAGCAGCAUGUGCGGUCCUCCUCAGGGAGUAUUUAAUGCCCUUCUUUCUACUUUUUGCUGCUGCUGUUUAAAAGCAGCUCACCUUCUUCACAACACACUAUAGCUACUGGGAAAUCACUUUCUUGGCCAGUCCUCGAGAAAAAGCUGUGUGAAAAGGCACUGUAUUUAUCUGCUUUCCUUACUCCUAUAGCAUUCUUGUGUCUGCUGCAAUAUACCAUCUCAAUAAUAUGUAUAUUAACACACAUCUGGAAAUAUCGUAGUAUUCUUCAUUUUGUCAGUAACAGCUUCUGCAAUAAGGAUCCAAGCAAAUUCUUAGCAGGCUUUUGCUUUUCUCUUUGUCUCUAUAGUUCGGGCUACUGAAGUAUCCUCCUCCAGCUCAGUGCCAUUCCUGUACAGCAGGCUGGACGUGUUUGCUGUUAGCAGAUGGAGGACAUUGCUACUGGAAGGAGUUAAGAGAGCCAAACUUCCUGGAAGCCUGAGUGAAAGAGACAAAAGUAAAAUUCUCACAGUGCUCCAGUUUCACUUUCUUUGCCAGCUUGGGGACGAUGCCGCGGAGGGAACGGAGCCCCAUCCUCUGCUCCUCGUACCACACGUUUCCCAUGCCACUAACCUCCUUCCGGGCGGUCAGGUAGAACGGAGACUUGGCCUCCAUCUGGCCUGGGGGCCGGUGUACGUACAUGUACUUGUAGAGGAGGCAGUAAGGGCAGAGCUUGUGUCCUUUCGAGUGCUCGUGGUAUAUCUGGCCAUAACACACUUUAUUUGCGCUCACCCUGUUUUCUCGCUUCACACUAUCCGUUCUGGCAAAAAAAGGCCUGUUUUGGGAGUCUUUGAGCAAUUCAAUGUCACCAAACAUCAAGUCCGCGUGCUCCUGUAACGUUCGCAUGUUCAGGUACUGGCUGUUGUAUUUUACCACUGUGGACAGCAGAGCUACGGGGCUGCUGUCACCCAGGCAUCCUGUCCUCCACAUCUCUUCCUCGUCAGAAAGGGAGAAGUAGACGACGUUGCGAGAGCGGGCACCAGACAUCCCAGCCCUGCUCAGGACCCUAAGCUUCUCCUUGAGCUUCUUGGUGGAAGAGCUGAAGGCGCUGCUGCUGAUGGAGAAACCCACACCCGCGUUCUUCAGGAUGCGGUCCAGGCCUCGGCGGAUAGCGUGGAGGGACGUGGCUAGGAAGUCUGAUCCGUCUGUUUUCUUCACCGUGAUGUAAAAAUCCUCCAGGAGUUCAUUCAGCUUCACAGCUGGGAUCUGGAACAAGAGGAAAGUGAAAGAUGUGUCAGCAUGCUUGUGUGCAAGGAGACACACUGCAGGUGUGGAAGAUGCACUUCUAAGGUUUCUUCAUGCUCUCUCUGGGGAAACCUGCUGAGGGCUUCCAGGCUUCCCCAGAAAUCUGGUUUUGGGCAGCCUUAGAGUCUUGGGAAGAAGUUACAUGUUUAGCUGAGCAAAAGAGAUGAGAUGAGAUGAAAGCCCAUGGUGUAAGGAUGCCCUGGCUGAACAGACCCAUUUCACUGGCUGGCACCUCUUUCCUACCAGCAGUGACUGAAAAAAAAGCAGCUGAAUUUUUGAUCUUCUUGAAGUGAAUGGUUUCAGCACUGAGGUGUCACUGUAUGCAAAUGUCUGACCUAUGACUUGAACCUCAGGUUCUGUGCUUUUCCAGUAAUGUUCUAGUUGUGGAAACUUUCCAGUCCUACUUUGCACUGACAUGUAUUAACAAUCUUCAUAAUCUCUUAAUUAAAGUGAAGAAUUAAGCUGAUCAUAAUGAGGUGCUUGGAGUUACAGGAGGCAAGGAGAGACAAUGUUGCCUUUGAUUCCUUGAAUAUGAGAAUUAAGAAACAUGGAGAAAUGAAAAAAGAGAGAGAAAGAGGGAGAGAGAGAGAGAAAGAGAGAGAGAGAAACCCCCCAGCAUUUUCCCUGUGGGAUCACAGUGCUUCUUUGGGCCAUAAGAUGUCACUAUUGCAUUCAGACUGGGUUGACCUACAGGCACAAGGUUCAUACAAAGCCCUCUACAAAAGCAUUGCAGACAACGUAGAGGACGGCACAUUUAUGUACCUGCAGUCUUCCCACAGCGUAGGAGACCUAGGCACUUGCAGUGCGGGCCCCUGACCUUGGCAGCCAAGGGCUUGGGGACAAUUUGGCAGCCAAACAGCAUGCCACCUCCCUGAAGCUCAACCACCACUCCUAAUAGGUUGAGGGAGCAAUAUUUUGUCUCUGCACCACUAAGAUGCCUACGAGCCGCAGCUGUGUGGUCUGCCACUAGUCUAGCAUGACCGAAGCACAUCUGCAAUACCCUUCGAGGAGGUGUUGCAUCUCCUCACCUGUAUAUACUGAAUACUAGUAUCUGGGGUGCUGCUCUCUCCUCUGAAAGCUCUCCUUUGUCAUACGGGAGUUUUAUGUUGGUCACUCUCCCUCACUCACACUUCAUUCUCCUCACGCGAAGAAAUGUCUUAGAUCAACCUAACAAAGAAACUUAGUUUAAGAAAUGUGAGUGGGGCUUUCUGUACUUUUCUGGACGGGGGUCUUAGACACAGUUCUUACUUUGAUGUGUAGAUUGAUUUUGCUGGGAGUUCAUUUUGGAAGUAAACUCCUUAAAUGCUUUGAAUUGCAGUGGCUAGGUCUCAGAGCAGAAAUCAUGUCUUCAAGAGACAAAUGCUGAGUUGUUUGGGUAACAACAGGAAAUCUAGUCACAUGGCAUCAUGAGGACAAAGUUGGGUAAAUGUUUUACAUACCGAGAAAUCUUUUGUAUCACUUCGGGUUUCCAAGCUACUGGGUCACCCGUAAAAGCAAUAAGGUGUAAAUUAGAAAAGAUUAUAGCUUUAUGAGAGAAACUUGGAAGGUCCCCGAGACCACAAGAACCUAAAGAAGGCUGAAAUCCCAUCUCUUUCCAAUGCUGCUUCUCCAAAAUUUAUGACAACUUCAUUUGACAAGAUGGGCUGGUUUCAACCUCUGAACAAGCUGUAUUUUGCUAAGUUUUCUGACCUUAGUGAUGUCCAUGUAAUCCCUGAGUCCUCUGGUCAUGCACCAGUAUCUCCACACGUUGAGAGCAUAGAGGGUAGCCUUGGUGGUGUUGGGGCUCACAGCACUGAUACACAGGUACUUGAGGUCGUCGUCAAAAUUAAAGACAGGAAACUUGUUGAGCUUAGUUGAGUAUGCUAGAAAACAAAGAAAGCGCAUAAAAAUACCUUGGCCUAGUGACACAUUAAAUCUGGCUAAGAGCAACCUGGAGUUGUUCACAAAGUGUGAGGAUUGUAAGAAAGAUGAAAUAGAGGAUCCCCAGGAAGAUUGCCCACAAGUUUGUCCACCUCAGCUGUGGUAGAAGGGUCUGAUGUGCAGCCGCCCUGAAUUUGCCUCAGAGCUAAGAAUUUACUGGCAUACACAGCUAGUAAUAGCGAAGGAGUAACAGAGGAUGUUUUACUUUGUUGAGGAAGAAAACAGUGGGUCAGUGGCAAUGGCAAAAGUUUUUCCCUUAGGAGUUGACUGAGGAGGAGGUGAAAAAAACUCACGCUAUUCCUAUAUAGCCUGAUCCUGUGCUGCAUGUGCUUCACACUAUCAGUUUGUGCAAACUGGACAUGCAGUGCUAAGCAGGAUUUUUCCACUUACACCUGCUUUCUAAUCUCUAUAAAACGCAACAGAAUCAGGCCCUAUUGCUUCAGUGGACCAAAGCAAGGUGCAUUUUGAUGAAUGUUAUGAGCUAGGUGGAGAUGCUUGGUGUGCAUUUCUUAAAAGGAGAACAUCAGCCUCACAGGUGGGAACUGAAAGGAGAGGAUUGAUGAAGAACCUUCUUGUAGAUGUUCAGACACUUAAUGUCACUUAUGAAAGAGUAAUACAUUUUUAUGGUAUCACUAUAAUUUUAUUAGAUCCACUAUACUUUAAAUGUACUUUUUACUGGCCCAAAGCCAAUCGAUUCAGCAGCCCAAGGAAUGUCAGCCCUGACAGGGUACUCUGAACAUCUGUGCACCAAGCUGAUGAACCAAGGGCUGCCAGCUCAGCUCAGCAGGCAAAGGUGUGCACUCAGGAGGAGGGAGCUGCCAGAUUUCUCCCACUAACCUUCAACUCUGCAGCCACAGAUGAGUUUCUGCAGACCUAAAGGUAUGGCAAACAUUCUGCAAAUUGGGAAGAGGUAAUUUUUUAAGAAAUUUCAAUGGUUGCAGCUUUUGAUGUUUAAACAGUAAACAGAAGGUAAAGGAACUGUAUAAAUCUAGGUGAAGAACCCACUGCAAACAAAACAAACAAGAAAGCUGAAUGGAUACUUCAUGCAAUGGCUAAUGACAUAAACUUGCUGUCUGACCCUUUGGGAUCUGGCCAGCCCUAGAAUGAGGGUGCUCAAUAUGUGGUCCGUGGACCCUUGACAGCCCAUAGCCUUAAGAGUCCAAGAAAGAUUGCUGGGAAAAGCACGCUAUGCAGAGGGCACAUCUAAACAACCCACAUUGCCAUGCAAGCCCAUCCAAGGCACCGAAGAGUGGAAAACACUGAAAACUGCUCUUCUAGGAUGGAAAGCACUGAGAGCAAGCAGAGGUCUCACAGUGUGAGGGGACUCUUCCUUCCUUCCAAACACAACAGCUGCCUAGUGGACAGAAAAAGGGCUUAUUUGGAACUGAAAGGUAGGCUGCAAGGAUUUUCUUCUAAACUGGGCUGUGUUUACAAACUCUGUUCAUGGCAAAUGACACUCUUCAGUCUAUACUUUUCUUUUGGUGCCUGCUGUUUGUAGUGUCCAGCAGCUGCCUUGUUCUCUUCUUAGCUCAGGGGAUCUUGCUGCAGAACAUGCAGCUAUCUAAGAAAUUAAUGGAGCAUAAACUAGGAUGGAAGUUCCUUUGGUCAGUGGUUUCACAGGCUCUUCCUGCUGAAUUUCUAGGUGGACAAAUCUGCUAAAGAAAGGCCAGGAUACUCAGAAAAAUUAUGAGUUGUUCAGCCACUAGCAUUCUCCUCAUCAAGAGGAGAUGCUUCUGGAAGGGGUCAUUGCCACCACUCAUUGGAAAGACAACGGCUAGCCUUGCACACCCCCCGCAUUCACAGAGGGAGGUCUUCUCACCCCUGUGGCAGAGGCCAUUGCAGCUGGCCUGUCUCCCAGUUCCCGUGACCCUGCAUUCAUGAAGCUCAGGUUACAGCCUGGCAGCCCCCAGAGCUGCCCCGAGAUGCCAGGACUGCCCUGCAGCGCCCCGGGUGCACUUGGGUCUGUUCCCUCGCUGCCCAGCGCAGGUCCACAGGAUGACAAUUCCUGCACUGAGUGUGGAUAGACAACAUCUGAGUCAAGACUUAGGACCAGCCAGCAGUCCACACCGCCAUCGCAGCAGCUUCAGACACCUUUGUGCCCUCAGGCCUUGCUACAGUGCUCUUGCAAUGGUCAUUCAGGCACUGUUCACCUCCCACCAAUAAGGAAAUCUUAGGUCAAAUCUCCGUAAAUCCUCUCUUCCUGUGUCUGAUGACCUUGAACCAUCUGGAUAUUUGCCAAGCCCAUUUACUCUCAGUACUCACUCCCCUACCAUAUUUCCCCCAAAGUUGCCUGCUACUCAGCUUCCAAGAUACCAUCUGCAAAGCUAUCAUAGGCUCACGCUGCUGGCCAGCCCAUGGACUGUUUCUGAGAGCACGAAGAACUCCCUGGAAAACCAAGCCCACUGUGAUUAAGGUCCUAGUCAUACAAAACAAAUUCCCCUGGAAAAUGUAAGAGCACUAACGUCACUGAAGUUCACCUGCGGAAAUUAGUCUCACAGGUACAUAAUUUCUGACAGGCCUAGGUUUGAAAACUGUAGCCUGUGUUGCCUGAACCACAGUAUCACUAGGACAGCUUAUGCAACUGCAACAGAAGACACACUUAGAUUGUUUCUGCCUUUCCAAGGCGCAGUUUAUCAUGUACUGUUAAGUUGUAGUUCUUGAUUUCUCCGAAUUGCAGAUUUUCAAACUGUGGGCUUCUGGUUUGGGCUGACCUCUGAUACUUGACAGUGAUAACAAUAACAGCUUGUAAUCAGUGUUGCUCCAGUCCUGAACUGAGACAGUGAACAAAGCACUGCACGAGAACAGACUAAACAGACGGUCAUUAAAGGACAUUUCAUAUCUUGUGCAUGGUGAUGCCUAUUAAAGUCUACAUCACACUUCUAUUUUUCUCCUCAUCAGACACCUUGCCCCUUCUUAAGAAACUAUUAAAAUCACUUUGAGUUGUUACUAUGGCUGGAAAGUGUAGCCAGUUCAGAAAGCAAUGGCUUCUCUGAUCAGUGUGUAGCUCUGAUAUUUGUAGUAAAAGAGCCUUGGUGUAAUAAAAUCAAAACAAAAUAAAACAAUGACAUUAAAAUGG